ensembl:lncRNA
GAGUGUGCGGUCAGCAUCGCUCUCCACUUUUCACCACUGCAGCAGCUUUUCUUAGCUGUGGGGUCCAGGACCGUGUCUCCGCCUUGGUCCUGAGCUCUGGGACACGCGCGAUGGUGUUCGUGCCUGUGGAGCUGCUGGUUGAAUUCCCUGGUGGUGAGUGACGUCAGCGAAGCCCCAUUCUGGUGUCUCUCUGAUGUCACACCGAGAGCACAGUCUUGGUGAGAAGAUUGUCUUUGGGUAAAAGCAAAGAAGACAGGAGAGAACCAAAGUAUCUGCUGCGCUUUUCUGUGGAACUGGGUGUACCGUUUGCCAGAGCUGUGUGCGUGCAGCGGAGCAGGCAGCCACCCAGUCCUUGCGGUUCAGCGCGAGUUGGGAGGGAGAAGGCGGAAACCACUAAGUGUAGACAACACGCAGCGAGUUCAGCUGGGAAGCUUAGCGAGUGGUGUCCGAAGAACGUUGCUCCCUCAGCACUGCGGGCAGUGUCCGAGCCUGGAGGGAGAGUGACCGACAGCCACGGGCUGGUCACACGCCUGCCCAAGAGCUGCACAGGAGCCGGCGAGGAAAAGCCCUUGCUGCUUCCAGUGUGAGGCAGGUUUCUGGAUCUAUCUUCAAGACAGCCAACACGAUGAAUGAAGGAACUUAAAUCAUGGCACAGUGAGAAAGAAAAGUAGCAAGCAGGAACUACCCCUUCCCUCCAAACAAACAGAAAAACAAAAUGAGGUAUUCACUAGAAUAUCUAUGAAUUUGCAAGAGAAAUAACUCAGUAUAUGAUCUCAGUCUCAACUUGCAUCCUUAUUUCAACUAUAUCUACUUCAGAAAGGAUUUGAAGGGUUUCCAAUAAAAGACAAAUAAAAUGUUACAAAUGGUAGAGAAAUGAAGACCAAAUAUGACCCUUGUAGAAGCAUGAGAAUUUUGUCUGUCUUGUUCAAGAGCUACACUGGCCACAGCUGAUACAGCAGAUGCUCAGUAAGUACUUUCUGAGGGAAUGUGACCCAGAAAAUGGAGGAUGCUUAUGCUGUUAUAUGAUUUCCUUCCAUUUUGCUUGGAAGUCUGGGAAAAAAACAGGAAAAUUGGAUGAAGAGACAGGCCCAAGGUUAGAGAUGGACACAGGGAAUUGGGGAGAUUUAAUGUGCUAGGGUGGGCAGCCCUGAUUGUAUUGAUUUAAAAAAAAGUAGAGACAGGUCUCUGCUGCCCAGCCAACAGUGCAUUUGUGCAGUUAUAGCUCACUGCAGCCUUCAGCUCCUGGGCUUAAGCAGUCUUCCUGCCUAAGCCUCCUGAGUAGCUGUAACUACAGGUAUGCACAACCACCUCCAGCUAAUUUUGUUGUUGUUGUUGUUGUUCAUAGAGUUGGGGUCUUGCUAUGUUGUCCAGGCUGUUCUCAAACUCCUGGCCUCAAGAGUUCCAACUGCACUGGCCCCUCAAGGCACUGAGAUUGCCGGCUAUAUUGAUUUUCAAUGUGCAAUGUUGAGUCUCUUUGGAUUCUAGAGGCCCUUUCACAUUGAGCUUCUGAACAGAGAAGUCCUGAUUGGUUGCCCCUCACUUGCAAGUUGAACAAACUUCAGCAAGUUACUAACCUGUUUCUGUCUCAGUUUUUACAUCUAUAAAACUGGUAUAUUAAUACUCAGCUCUUUAUAUAAUUACAGAAGUCAAAUGAAAUGACAAAUCUGAAAGCACUUUGAAGACUUCAAGGUAAAAAUACUGUUAUUAAUAAAAUCACCCCAAAUAGAUGGUUUUUGGUACUUUUUAUUUUGCUUUAUAAGAAUAAUUUCACAUGUGGACCCCAAUCAUAAAAUUAAGGGCACCCCUUUUUGUAGAAGAAAAAAGUUUUCUAUUUUGUUUGAAGCAGAGACUGCUAUAGAUUAUCUUGAUUUCAAGCAGAUCUGCAGGAAUUAAAUUAGACAAAAAAUUCUGAUGUGAAAACACUGGGGCAAAUUAGCACAAAGGUGGUGAAUUUGUUUUCAGAGUGUGGGUUAGUCAAAACGAAGCUGACAAGUUGAUUUACAGGUUAAGUGAGAAAAUUCAGUUCCUUAAACAACACAUACUCUAUAGCCCA